rnacentral:rRNA from 1 species
UUUGAUUAUGGCUCAGAUUGAACGCUGGCGGGAUGUUUACACAUGCAAGUCGAACGGCAGUACGGACUUCGGUCUGGUGGCGAGCGUGGCGAACGGGUGAGUAAUGUAUCGGAACGCCUAGUAGCGGGGACAACUACGCGAAAGCGUAGCCAUUGCCGCAUACUAGCCCUUCGGGGAAAGCGGGGACCUUCGCCUCGCACUAUUAGAGCGGCCGAUAUCGGAUUAGAAGAAGCUGGUGGGGUAAUCGGCUCACCAUGACGAUCCGUAGCUGGUUUGAGAGGACGACCGCCACACUGGGACUGGAGACACGGCCCAGACAUCUGCACGUGGAGGCAGCGGGGAAUUGGACAAUGGGGAAACUUCAUCCAAAGUCCAUCCGGCAAAAAGUGAUGAAGGCCUUCUUGGGUUAAAGUUACCUCAUUGGUAGAAAGAAACAAAAGGCGGAUAAUACCCAGCAACCUGAUUUUGAAACCGUGUGACAGCAUCGGUUAAUCAUCGCCCAGCAGCCAGCAAUAUUAGCGCAAGCAUGACCGAAUACUGGCGUAAAAGUGCAAAGGGUCUGAAAGAAAGAUGGAACUUAAGAGCUUAUCCGCUGGAACCGUAUUUUAAUCACUGAGUUGAUGUCAGAUGGUGGAAUUCCGCAGCAGCAAAGUCGUAGAUAUGGAGGAACACCGAUGGCGGCGUACUCUUAAUGUUACUGACGUCAUAACGAAAGUGCGGGAGCAAAUGAUUGAUACCCUGGUAGUCCACGCCCUAAACGAGGUCAACUAGCUGUUGGGGCCUUCGGGUCAUAUAGCAGCUAACGCGUGAAGUUGACCGCCUGGGGAGUACGGUCGCAAGAUUAAAACUCAAAGGAAUUGACGGGACUGCACAGCGGUGGAUGAUGUGGAUUAAUUCGAUGCAACGCGAAAACCUUACCUACCCUUUGACAUGUCUGGAAUCCCGAAGAGAUUUGGGAGUGCUCGCAAGAGAACCGAACACAGGUGCUGCAUGGCUGUCGUCAGCUCGUGGCCGUGAGAUGUUGCUAAGUCCCGCAACGAGCGCAACCCUCGUCAUUAGUUGCUACGAAAGGGCACUCUAUCGAGACUGUUGUGACAAACCGAGGAAGGUGGGAGCGACGUCAAGUCCUCAUGGCCUCUACAGGUGGGUAGGGCUUCACACGUCAUACAAUGGUCGGGACAGAGGGUCGCCAACCCGCGAGGGGGAGCCAAUCCCAGAAACCCGAUCGUAGUCCGGAUCGCAGUCUGCAACUCGACUGCAGAAGUCGAAUCGCUUAGUAAUCGCGGAUCAGGCCGCGGUGAAUACGUUCCCGGGUCUUGUACACACUGCCCGUCACACCAUGGGAGUGGGUUUUACCAGAAGUAGUUAGCCUAACCGUAAGGAGGGCGAUUACCACGGUAGGAUUCAUGACUGGGGUGAAGUCGUAACAAGGUAG